AAAUAUCUUAUCUUCUUUACUAAGAUUUGAUAUUAAAUAGAAUUUUGAUUUUAUAUCAUCAAUGGCUUCAACCAUCUUAUUUGUUUCUUUUAUAUUUGGCUCAAGAUAACAUAUCCACCACCAAAUUGUCUUUUCUAACAAUAUGACUAAAUUCUAAAUUUAAUGAUUUUAUAUAAGUAAUCCAUCUUAAUAUUAUAAUAUUUGGUAUUGAAUAAUUGGUAAUCAUCUCAAGCAAUGGCAAGAAAUCUCUUUAAAUUACUACCUCUAUACCAAUUAAAUAAUCUUUUUUUAACUUUCAUAACUAAAACAACUUUCUAUAGUUCUCUUUUGACUUGUAAAUAUGUACGUUGAUGAGUACUUAAAAAUUUAGCUCCAAAUCAAACUGCAAAUCUAUUUCCACUUGAAUUGUCUUGAUCUACAAUCCACCUAAUAGCAAUUGAACUAGUAUCUACAAUAAGUAUUACUUGUCUAUUACACUCAUAAUCAAUUCUUCUUAAAAUUGGAGGUGUCAAUAAUAACACCUUUAGUUUUUGUAUUAUUUUUUUAUACUUUCUUUUCCAUUUAAAUCAACAACCUUUAUAUAAUGAUUCAUACAAUAGAUAUGUUAUAUGAGCAUAAUGAGGAAUCCAUAUACAAUAAAGUAUACAGGCUCUUAAAAACCUACACACUUUCAUUAAAAAAUCAUAUAUAUCCUUCAUCCUUUCAAUUACAUCAACUUUGCUUGGAU
rnacentral:lncRNA from 1 species